AAAGUCGUAACAAGGUUUCCGUAGGUGAACCUGCGGAAGGAUCAUUAACGAUUUGAAGGGAGUCUUCAGUGCUGGUCCUUCGGGACAUGUGCACGGGUCUCUCUACUCAUCCAUUUUACCCCUGUGAACCUUUAGUAGGGCUUUUGCGAAAGUGAAAGCUCUAUGUUUUUAUACACCCCAUAUGUAUGUCAUUAGAAUGUCCUGUAUCCAGUACGCUCGCAAGGGCCGAAAGAAACAAAAAUACAACUUUCAACAACGGAUCUCUUGGCUCUC
rnacentral:misc_RNA from 1 species